rnacentral:rRNA from 1 species
CACGUAGGGGACGAGCGUUGUCCGGAUUCAUUGGGCGUAAAGAGCGUGUAGGCGGCCCGAUAAGUCCGCUGUGAAAGUCCAGGGCUCAACCCUGGAAUGCCAGUGGAAACUGUCGGGCUGGAGUCCGGAAGAGGCGAGUGGAAUUCCUGGUGUAGCGGUGAAAUGCGCAGAUAUCAGGAGGAACACCAAUGGCGAAGGCAGCUCGCUGGGACGGUACUGACGCUGAGGAGCGAAAGCGUGGGGAGCGAACAGG